rnacentral:rRNA from 1 species
CAGUCGCCACGGUAAUACAGAGGUCUCAAGCGUUGUUCGGAAUCACUGGGCGUAAAGGGUGCGUAGGUGGCGUGGUAAGUCAGAUGUGAAAGCCCGGGGCUCAGCCUCGGAAUUGCAUCCGAUACUACCAUGCUAGAGUACUGAAGAGGUGACUAGAAUUCUCGGUGUAGCAGUGAAAUGCGUAGAUAUCGAGAGGAAUACCAAAGGCGAAGGCAGGUCACUGGGCAGUUACUGACACUGAGGCACGAAGGCUAGGGGAGCAAACGGGAUUAGAUACCCCAGUAGUCCCUGUCUCUUAUAC